UCCAACCCAGGAACCCAGACGCUCCCGCUCCCAACCCUCCUCCCUGUCGCGUUCCAACCAAGCUCGUCCCCGGCUUGCCCUCCUCGCUUCCCUCGCUUCGCGUGAAAAAGAGUUUUGAAAGAAUCGCUGCAGCAGCAUCUUCGCCUGAUGCUUGCCACAACUUCGCCCAACCGUCCUCCCUGUCGCGUUCGAACCAAGCUCGGGAGCUUGCCGUGAAAGUAAUGGAAUUGUUCAGGCCAUGAUAUUAUGAGGAAUGCGUGGGAGAUUUUCAACUCAGUUGUUGAACAUUUGCAUUGCUUCACUAUGUAAGGCUAGGAAAUUGGAUAAGGCUGAGGCUGUUGUUGUUGAUGGAAUAAGGCUAGGUUGCCUUCCUGAUGUUGUGACAUAUAAUACUCUUAUCGCUGCAUAUUGUCGCUUUGUGGGCUUAGAUCAAGCAUAUUUGAUUGUUAGAAGAAUGCGAGAAGCAGGGGUAAAACCUGAUGUGAUUACAUACAAUUCCCUUAUGGCUGGGGCAAGUAGAUAUAAUCUGCCCUCUUAUUGCCGUCAUCUGUUCGAUGAAAUGUCAAAAGAUGGAAUAACACCUGAUGAAUGGAGCUGCAAUACUUUGAUGCACUGUUUGUUUAACUGUGGGUGUCCAGAGGAAGCCUUUCAGAUAUUUUCUGAUAUGAGUUCAAAAAAUAUCUCCCCAUCUAUUGUUACAUAUAACACAUUGAUUAAUGGCUAUUUCAAGUACGGAAGAUCAGUUAGCGCUAUCAAGACAUUUAGGAGGUUGCAGAAAUUUGGUUUCUCUCCUGAGCUAGUUACAUAUAAUACAAUGCUUGAUGGGCUCUUUAAAUCUGGUAAACUAGGUCAGGUAAGAAGCAUUUUUAAGGAGAUUAGAGAAUCAGGUAUUAUUCCUAAUGCUAUAACCUAUACUACUGUUAUGAAAUGCUGGUUUAAGUCUCGAAAGUUUGAGCAAGGCUUAGAUUUAUUCUCCGAGAUGAUGAGCAAAGAAUAUACAUCUGAUGUGUUCGCUUAUUGCACUGUUAUUAGUGCCCUAGUCAAGAGGGGUAAGACUGAAGAUGCUCAUCUAUGCAUCCAGCAGAUGCUUAAAAAUGGUAUUGGGAUUGAUCUGGCUUGUUAUAAUGUUAUAAUUAACGUGUAUUGCAAGGAAAAAAAUAUGAAUAAUGCAUUGCAGCUGGUGAAUGAGAUCGAAGAAGCUGGUCUGCAAAGUGAUGAGUACACAUACUCUACGUUGGUAGAUGGGUUCUGCAAAUUAGGCGAUGUUAAUUCUGCUAGGAAUCAUUUGCGUGUUAUGGAAAUAAGUGGCUUAAGUAUGAACUUGGUAGCUUACAAUUGCCUUAUUGAUGGGUUAUGCAAAGCUGGACAGGUGGAUCAUGCCAUUAGUGUAUUCAAGAUGAUGAAGAUACGAGAUUCUUUCACAUACACGGCUCUGUUGCAUGGUCUAUGUAAAGUGGGCAGGUUCCGUGUUGCAUCUAAAUUCCUAUGGACUUGCUUGAGGAAGGGAGUUGAGGUGCUCAAGUCUGCUCAACUUGCAGUCCUUCGUGGUCUCCGGUGCUCAGGAUUUGGAAAGGAUGCAAAGAUACUCAAGGCAGCUAUAUGGAGGGCUCGAUUCUUGCAUGACAUAAAAUGUCUUGGGCUAGAUGCUCACUAUUAGGAACAAAUUCAAGAUGUAUGGCAACAUAAUGUUGAGUUUCUUUUCUUACAAUUACGUGCUAUUGUGAAGACAAAGGGAAUUUGGGAACUAGCAGUUUGCUGUGGCCUCGCAAGCUUGAUUUUGGUUCAAAGAUGUCUCACUUCCAGAAAACUUGUUUGGUUAGAUCUCUCUGUUUAAUUCUAACUUUAUUUUAUACUUUCAAUAUCUUUGUUGCAGCCAUUAAGUAAGAAUAAGACAGCUGUAGAAAAAAGUUUGAAGAGAAUUAAUGCUUGGCCUAAAAAUGGCAGAUUUAUCUGUCAAUCUGGUUGAGAAGCCAACAGAGCACGAUGCCAAUGAAAAGAUUACUGAAGGUUAUCAAGGUUGAUCAUGAUGCCCAUGGUGUGCAGAAACUCCUGAAGAUUUUUGGUAAGGUAGAAGCACAUCUCGUGAACAAAGGUAAACAUUUGUGAAAUGAUUUCCCAAUCCAAGCGUUCUCUAAUGUUGGUGAAGCCUCUAUAUCGAGCAAUUUUGUUAUUACCUGCUGUUGUUCUGAGACGAAUUUGGUCAUGGUUUUGACAUCUUAGCACUGGUUUAUGCUCAUUGCUUGUCAUUGAAGGCCCAAUUGUUAAUGAAACCUGCACUGAAUUGUGCAUGGCCCCUGGAAACAGAACAUCCAGUUGGAUUGUAUACUAUUCAGGUGGCCUAACAUAGUAACUUCAAUC